rnacentral:rRNA from 1 species
UGAGCAACCUGCCCUUGACUCUGGAAUAACAGUUGGAAACAGCUGCUAAUACCGGAUACGACCUCCGACGGCAUCAUCUGGAGGUGGAAAGCUCCGACGGUCAAGGAUGGGCUCGCGGCCUAUCAGCUUGUUGGUGAGGUAAUGGCUCACCAAGGCGACGACGGGUAGCCGGCCUGAGAGGGUGUCCGGCCACACUGGGACUGAGACACGGCCCAGACUCCGUAGGAG